GUUAUAUGGUCAAGAAGAGAAGCGCAAACGGUGGAUGCCUUGGCAGUAAGAGGCGAAGAAGGACGUGGAAUCCUGCGAAAAGCUAUGGGGAGCUGGAAACGAGCGUUGAGCCAUAGAUGUCCGAAUGGGGGAACCCGGCUGCAGUAAUGCGGUCAUUUGCAUUUGAAUACAUAGGAUGCAAAGGCGAACUCGGGGAACUGAAACAUCUAAGUACCCGAAGGAAAAGAAAUCAAGAGAGAUUCUCCAA
rnacentral:rRNA from 1 species